UAGUGAGUUGAUCCUGGCUCAGAACGAACGCUGGCGGCAGGCUUAACACAUGCAAGUCGAACGGCUGUAGCAAUACAGCAGUGGCAGACGGGUGAGUAACACGUGGGAACCUUCCUAGGGGUACGGAACAACUCAGGGAAACUUGAGCUAAUACCGUAUACGUCCGUGAGGAGAAAGAUUUAUCGCCAAAGGAUUGGCCCGCGUACUGAUUAGCUAGUUGGUGGGGGUCACGGCUUACCGAAGGCGACGACGGGUAGCUGGUCUGAG
rnacentral:rRNA from 1 species